CGCGUAGGCGGUUUCUUAAGUCAGGUGUGAAAGCCCCCGGCUCAACUGGGGAGUUGCACAUGAUACUGGGAGACUAGAGUGCAGGAGAGGAAAGUGGAAUUCCGUGUGUAGCGGUGAAAUGCGUAGAUAUACGGAGGAACACCAGUGGCGAAGGCGGCUUUCUGGACUGCAACUGACGCUGAGGCGCGAAAGCUGGGGGAGCGAACGGGAUUAGAUACCCCGGUAGUCCCAGCCGUAAACGAUGGAUGCUAGGUGUGGGGGGUAUCGACCCCUUCCGUGCCGCAGUUAACACAAUAAGCAUCCCGCCUGGGGAGUACGGCCGCAAGGUUGAA
rnacentral:rRNA from 1 species